GUUUAACGAUUAUUAUAUUGUGUAUUUCUGCAUUUCUCUGUCUUAGUGUUGUCUUGUUUGUUUGUGCUGUAUUUCUGUCUCGUAGUGAUAUCAUUUUAGCGGAUUUUUUUUAAAACAUUGUUAUUUAAGUUCGAGGUUUAGUAAGCCAUACAACCAGACUCAACGCCCCAUUUUUCUUGAAACGUCCUGUACAAAGUCAGGAACAUGGCAGUUGUCAUCAAAUAGUUCCUGUCUAUAAAUAUAUGUUUGUUGCAUUGGAUUUUGUUUUUUGUUAUACUUUAUUGAUUCUGAUUUUCCAUUGUUUUCCUCAUAUAGUUGAUGUGUUUUCCUCGGUUUUAGUAUGUAAACCGAGUUUCCUUCAAUCGAUUUAUGACUUUUGACCAGCGGUACACUACUGGUGCAUUUAGUUAUGAAUAUCCUGUAGCAGAAGAAACUACGUAUUUAACUUCAAGCCUAAUAUAAAGUGACAAUUUUCUGAUUCAAAUCAAUCGAUUUCAUUCGACUAUUCGGCCGUGUUAAGAGUUACAGUUUUCCAUGAUACAUAUUGUUUUAUCUUUUAUUGAUAUUAACUGUACUUGUAUCAUUUAUUUUGUUUCACAAUACAUGUGUACUUCAAUUUAGAGCCUGCAGGAAACUUAAGCGUUAUGUUAUUGUGCAUCAUAUUUUGUAUAUUCACUCUUUUUUCUCAUUCUUUUCUCCACACGCGACUUAAAGGAUCCCUUUACAACCCUCACUUCACUUAAUAUAUUAGAACGUGGAGAAUUACUCAGCUCAUAUCAUUUGUAAUAAGAUAAAAAGGAAAGC
rnacentral:lncRNA from 1 species